GCAUCCACCUAGCUCAGUCAGUAGAGUAUGAGACUCUUAAAUUUCAGGGUUGUGGGUCCGAGCCCCACAUUAGGCA